rnacentral:SRP_RNA from 2 species
UGAGAGGUUGGCGCGGGCGGACGCCUCGCCAACCCGGUCAGGUCCGGAAGGAAGCAGCCGUAACGAUUCACGUCUGGGUCGCUGUCCAGCCUCUCACCU